GAGGAAUAUUGGUCAAUGGACGCAAGUCUGAACCAGCCAUGCCGCGUGAAGGAUGACUGCCCUAAGGGUUGUAAACUUCUUUUGUACGGGGGUAAUAGUCCGAUUGCGAUCGGAUAUGAAAGUACUGUAUGAAUAAGCGUCGGCUAACUACGUGCCAGCAGCCGCGGUAAUACGUAGGACGCAAGCGUUAUCCGGAUUUAUUGGGUUUAAAGGGUGCGUAGGCGGAUCCAUAAGUCAGUGGUGAAAUACUGUCGCUCAACGAUAGCAUUGCCAUCGAUACUGUGGAUCUUGAGUACAGUUGAGGUAGGCGGAAUGUGUAGUGUAGCGGUGAAAUGCUUAGAUAUUACACAGAACACCGAUUGCGAAGGCAGCUUACUAAGCUGAAACUGACGCUGAGGCACGAAAGCGUGGGGAUCAAAC
rnacentral:rRNA from 1 species